ensembl:lncRNA
AAAAACCUGUUGGUGAGUGGUGAUUUAGGCUUUGAUUUGUAUCACCUGUGCUACACAGGUGAUGCAUCCAAACAGGGGGAACACCUGUGAGUUGCUUGCAUGCCAUGUGGAGGCUUUAUUCCCUUAGAUGAGGACGUGUAUCAAGAAGCUGACCUCUGAUGAGCGGCUACCAGUGGUUUCCUCUGCUACGUAGUGGAGAUUUGCAACCGGCUGUUGAAGGGAAGGAAGAGGUGAGGUGCAUGAAUUAAUUAUUUAAGAUGUUUUCAUUGGCUGCUAAACAACACUGUUUUGAUUUAUGAGAGGUCAUAACAAAUUGUUGCAAAGAAGUUGCAAGAUAUUUCUGCAGCUAAUCAAGUCCAAAGUACUUUUCCUUUAUUAACGUAUGCGUGGGGAAGGUGUGCCACAAUGUUUUAUUUUUAAAAAGUAUAUAGUAGUGUGCUAGUAGUGUGCAUUGCGAAAAUCUUCCAAAGUCUCACUUAGCAUACAUAACUUCUAUGGCCUAAAAAGGCAUAUGAUGUUAUGUAGACUGAUGCAUAAGUUCACAAAGGGAUAAGUGAAACAACAGCUUGAAAUCCUCUUGAAUAGGUAUGUGUAGAGCCAGAUUCAGCUGACUCCAAUUUGCUAAGUUUCACCAUUGGUAUUGUUUAGAAAUAUACCUACCAUUUGUCCUUGGUCUAUGCCAGUGAGGAUUAAUUUAUGGUCCUCUACUUUCAUUCAAGUAUUUCUCAAGAAUAGGGACUGUGUGUGUUCUAGCCUGUAUGAAGGAAAAUGUAUUUUCUGGAAAAUUCUCAUGGGUAUUAAAAUUUUCUUUUC